UACGUAGGGGGCAAGCGUUGUCCGGAAUCAUUGGGCGUAAAGAGCGUGUAGGCGGCUCGGUAAGUCCGUUCUGAAAGUCCAGGGCUCAACCCUGGGAUGCGGAUGGAUACUGCCGGGCUCGAGUCCGGAAGAGGCGAGUGGAAUUCCCGGUGUAGCGGUGAAAUGCGCAGAUAUCGGGAGGAACACCGGUGGCGAAGGCGGGUCUCUGGGCCGAUAUUGACGCUGAGGAGCGAAAGCGUGGGGAGCGAACAGG
rnacentral:rRNA from 1 species